rnacentral:rRNA from 1 species
GUCGAACGGCAGCACGGGUGCUUGCACCUGGUGGCGAGUGGCGAACGGGUGAGUAAUGCGUCGGAACGUACCGAGUAGUGGGGGAUAACGCAGCGAAAGUUGUGCUAAUACCGCAUAUUCUGUGAGCAGGAAAGCGGGGGAUCUUCGGACCUCGCGCUAUUCGAGCGGCCGACGUCUGAUUAGCUAGUUGGUGGGGUAAUGGCUCACCAAGGCGACGAUCAGUAGCGGGUCUGAGAGGAUGAUCCGCCACACUGGGACUGAGACACGGCCCAGACUCCUACGGGAGGCAGCAGUGGGGAAUUUUGGACAAUGGGCGAAAGCCUGAUCCAGCCAUGCCGCGUGUCUGAAGAAGGCCUUCGGGUUGUAAAGGACUUUUGUCAGGGAGGAAAUCCCCAGGGCUAAUACCCUUGGGGGAUGACAGUACCUGAAGAAUAAGCACCGGCUAACUACGUGCCAGCAGCCGCGGUAAUACGUAGGGUGCAAGCGUUAAUCGGAAUUACUGGGCGUAAAGCGUGCGCAGGCGGUUGGUUAAGCAAGAUGUGAAAGCCCCGGGCUCAACCUGGGAACUGCGUUUUGAACUGGCCAGCUAGAGUACGUCAGAGGGGGGUGGAAUUCCGCGUGUAGCAGUGAAAUGCGUAGAGAUGC